rnacentral:rRNA from 1 species
CCUACGGGAGGCAGCAGUGGGGAAUAUUGCACAAUGGGGGAAACCCUGAUGCAGCGACGCCGCGUGAGUGAAGAAGUAUUUCGGUACGUAAAGCUCUAUCAGCAGGGAAGAAAAUGACGGUACCUGACUAAGAAGCCCCGGCUAACUACGUGCCAGCAGCCGCGGUAAUACGUAGGGGGCAAGCGUUAUCCGGAAUCACUGGGUGUAAAGGGAGCGUAGACGGCUGAGCAAGCCUGAAGUGAAAGGCGGGGGCCCAACCCCCGGACUGCUUUGGGAACUGUACGGCUGGAGUGCAGGAGAGGUAAGUGGAAUUCCUAGUGUAGCGGUGAAAUGCGUAGAUAUUAGGAGGAACACCAGUGGCGAAGGCGGCUUACUGGACUGUAACUGACGUUGAGGCUCGAAAGCGUGGGGAGCAAACAGGAUUAGAUACCCGGGUAGUC